rnacentral:rRNA from 1 species
UACAGAGGUCUCAAGCGUUGUUCGGAUUCAUUGGGCGUAAAGGGUGCGUAGGCGGCGCGGUAAGUCGGGUGUGAAAUCUUGGAGCUUAACUCCGAAACUGCAUUCGAUACUGCCGUGCUUGAGGACUGGAGAGGAGACUGGAAUUUACGGUGUAGCGGUGAAAUGCGUAGAUAUCGUAAGGAAGACCAGUGGCGAAGGCGGGUCUCUGGACAGUUCCUGACGCUGAGGCACGAAGGUCAGGGGGAGCAAAACGGGG